rnacentral:misc_RNA from 1 species
CAGAGGAUGGCUGCCACGGCGUGCUGAUUCUUUUGAGAAGCUGGAUAAAAUUGGCCAGGGAACUUACAGUAAUGUUUAUAGAGCUCGUGACCUUGAUCAAAAGAAGAUUGUUGCUUUGAAGAAAGUAAGGUUUGACAAUCUGGAACCCGAGAGCGUUCGCUUUAUGGCCAGGGAAAUUCAUAUUUUGCGUAGGCUUGACCAUCCUAAUGUGGUAAAACUUGAGGGUCUAGUUACAUCCAGAAUGUCUUGCAGUUUGUACCUUGUAUUUGAAUACAUGGAGCAUGAUUUGGCUGGACUAGCAGCAAGCCCAAAUAUCAAUUUCACA